AAUUAUAGUAGCGAAGGUCAUGAUCUCACACUGCCAAGAAAAGCCUCUAGUCAGGAGAAGGUGCCCGUACCGCAAACCGACACAGGUAGGCGAGAAGAGAAUUCUAAGGCGCGCGGAAGAACUCUCGUUAAGGAACUCGGCAAAAUGACCCCGUAACUUCGGGAGAAGGGGUGCCUCGGUAGGGUGAAUAGCCCGAGGGGGCCGCAGUGAAAAGGCCCAAGCGACUGUUUAGCAAAAACACAGGUCUGUGCGAAGCCGUAAGGCGAAGUAUACGGGCUGACGCCUGCCCGGUGCUGGAAGGUUAAGGGGAGCGGUUAGGAGCAAUCCGAAGCUGUGAACCGAAGCCCCAGUAAACGGCGGCCGUAACUAUAACGGUCCUAAGGUAGCGAAAUUCCUUGUCAGGUAAAUUCUGACCCGCACGAAUGGCGUAACGACUUGGGCGCUGUCUCAACGAGAGAUCCGGUGAAAUUUUAAUACCUGUGAAGAUGCAGGUUACCCGCGACAAGACGGAAAGACCCCAUGGAGCUUUACUGCAGCUUGAUAUUGAAUUUGGGUACGAUCUGUACAGGAUAGGUGGGAGCCGUGGAGGCAGGAGCGCAAGCUUCUGCGGAGGCGCCGUUGGGAUACCACCCUGAUCGUAUCUAGGUUCUAACCUAGUGCCCUUAGCGGGUACGGGGACCGUGUCAGGCGGGCAGUUUGACUGGGGCGGUCGCCUCCUAAAGAGUAACGGAGGCGUUCAAAGGUUCCCUCAGAAUGGUUGGAAAUCAUUCGCAGAGUGCAAAGGCAUAAGGGAGCUUGACUGCGAGACCUACAAGUCGAGCAGGGACGAAAGUCGGACUUAGUGAUCCGGUGGUACCGCAUGGAAGGGCCAUCGCUCAACGGAUAAAAGCUACCCUGGGGAUAACAGGCUUAUCUCCCCCAAGAGUCCACAUCGACGGGGAGGUUUGGCACCUCGAUGUCGGCUCAUCGCAUCCUGGGGCUGAAGUAGGUCCCAAGGGUUGGGCUGUUCGCCCAUUAAAGCGGUACGCGAGCUGGGUUCAGAACGUCGUGAGACAGUUCGGUCCCUAUCUGUCGUGGGCGCAGGAAAUUUGAGAGGAGCUGUCCUUAGUACGAGAGGACCGGGAUGGACGUACCGCUGGUGCAUCAGUUGUUCCGCCAGGAGCAUGGCUGAGUAGCUACGUACGGACGGGAUAAGCGCUGAAAGCAUCUAAGCGUGAAGCCCCCCUCAAGAUGAGAUUUCCCAGUAUGUAAGACCCCUUGAAGACGACGAGGUAGAUAGGUUGGAGGUGGAAGUGCAGCAAUGCAUGGAGCUGACCAAUACUAAUCGGUCGAGGGCUUAUCCAAAUU
rnacentral:rRNA from 1 species